GACGAACGCUGGCGGCGUGCUUAACACAUGCAAGUCGAACGGAAAGGCCCUGCUUUUGUGGUGUGCUCGAGUGGCGAACGGGUGAGUAACACGUGAGUAACCUGCCCUUGACUUUGGGAUAACUUCAGGAAACUGGGGCUAAUACCGGAUAGGAGCUCCUGCUGCAUGGUGGGGGUUGGAUAGUUUCGGCGGUUGGGGAUGGACUCGCGGCUUAUCAGCUUGUUGGUGGGGUAGUGGCUUACCAAGGCUUUGACGGGUAGCCGGCCUGAGAGGGUGACCGGCCACAUGGGGACUGAGAUACGGCCCAGACUCCUACGGGAGGCAGAAGUGGGGAAUAUUGCACAAUGGGCGGAAGCCUGAUGCAGCAACGCCGCGUGCGGGAUGACGGCCUUCGGGUUGUAAACCGCUUUCGCCUGUGACGAAGCGUGAGUGACGGUAAUGGGUAAAGAAGCACCGGCUAACUACGUG
rnacentral:rRNA from 1 species